GACCGCGUAGCUCAGUUGGCAGAGCAUUGGGCUAGUAUUCCAAAGAUUGUAGGUUCGAUUCCCACCGUGGCCA